UAUCUUUUCCGUAAAUCACUGACACACCCUCACUACUUUAAAAUUCAGCUUUUUGACCCCCUCAUUUCAAGGUAAGUCUCCUUCAUCGCUGACUUUACUUUACUUUACUUCUAUGUGAUACUAUUGUUUCUUACCGCGAAAACCUAAGCCCCGAAGCUAACCAUGUCUAGUCUUCCUCUAGACAUAAUCGCCGACGUCCUCAGCCGACUCCCACCAAAAAAGCUUUUAUGUUUCAGGUGCGUUUGCAAGCCCUGGUGUCAUCUAAUCGACAGUUCUGAUUUCAUGAAGCUUCAUCUCCAUAAAUCCAUCAAGUCCAACACCAACCAAUCCCUCAUCUUGAAACACUCCCAUCUUUACUGGGUAAGUUUAGAUUCGCUUGACCUAGCUUCAGAAAUCGAUCAUCCUUUAAUGUGUUAUAAUCACAGUGUUAAGUUACUAGGUUCCUGUAAUGGGUUGCUCUGUAUUUGUAAUAUAGUCGAUGAUAUUGCUUUCUGGAACCCAUCAACGAGAAAACACAGGGUUUUACCAUGUGUGUCGUUGGAGCUCCGGCGAUAUUCGGGUCCUUCUGUGUGUAGUCUGUGUCUUUAUGGGUUUGGUUAUGAUAAGGUAAAUGAAGAUUAUAAGCUUGUUAGAAUUGCUCGCUUUAGGGGGAUAGAAACUUCGUUUGUUGAGUGUGAAGUUAAGGUUUUUAGCCUGAGAAGAAAUUGUUGGAAGAGGAUUAAAGAUAUGCCUUAUGUGUGUGGAUAUCCAGGGACAAAUGGGGUUUUUGCUUGUGGUGCUUUACAUUGGGUAGUGAGUAGAAAUUGUACUUCUGAGGAGUUCAAUAGAAAUGGUAGUUCUGAGGAGUUCAAUGUUGUUGUUGCUUUGGAUUUAGCUGUUGAAGACUAUAAUGAGGUGGCACUGCCGGAGUUUGGGGAUAGGAAUUUUAAUUUGGAGGUGGGAGCGUUGGGUGAUUGUUUGUGUGUGGUUGCGAAUUAUUCAAACGUUCAGUCUGAUGUAUGGGUGAUGAAAGAGUAUGGAGUGAAGGAUUCUUGGUGUAAAUUGUUUUCAGUUAUGCGAGAACAAAUGCGUGGACUUGGGAGAUCUCUAAGGCCAUUGGGUUAUUCUAAAGGAGGCAGUGAGGUUCUCGUUGAACAGGAUAAAGUAAACCUUUUUUGGUAUGAUUUGAAAACGAAGAUAGUUACGGAUGUUGUGAUUCAUGAUACACCCAGUUCUUGUGAAGUAGAAUUUUGCUUGCUAACCCUUACUUCUGUUAAUAUUAGCAAACGAGAUAGUGGAAAGAAUCAGAGAAUAGCAGACCAUGAGAAGAAUGUUAAGAAGAGGGAUGAUUUCUUGUCUGAGGGGUUCAAAUUGGUGCUAUAGUCAAGUAAAGAAAGAAUGGCAGCUGGAGCAAAAAAAGGUACUCAUGGAAUUCUAAUAUAAUACGUUUAUCAGAAUAAAUAUGAGUCAUCUUCCAGAACUGGUAGUGGCAGUAGGUUCCCUAGCAGUCUCUUCAGCACACAUGUGGAGAUAAAAUCCUCAUGGAAGGGGGUGAUAAAUGCUGUGAAUUGUUUAAAUCUAACUCCUUUGAAUGCUGCUGCUCAUGACCUAUCACAAGCUGCAGUUUACAGAGUGCCUUUCUGGCCUUGCAGUUACUCGACUUUAAGUUAACACGAUACUGUGUUCUGUAAUUGUUAUGCAUGAUUAAAUUUAUAAUAUAGUAGUGGAGUGUAUGUGUAUGUGUUUUUAUGAGGCUGGAAAAAGAAGAAAACCCGUAAUGAGUAAGAAAUGUUCAUUAUGUGAUGUAAUGUACUUCAGUCUGUUGGUAUAUUGAGUUUGACACUCAUUGAGCUUAAUUGGCAAACAACAUUUCACAAA